AGAGAGAGACAUGCGCGCAUAUCAAUAAGCGGAGGAAAAGAAACUAACUAAGGAUUCCCCUAGUAACGGCGAGUGAAGCGGGAAGAGCUCAAAUUUGAAAUCUUCAAGGGUUCUACCUUUACGAAUUGUAGUUUAAAGAAGUGUUUUCUGUUGAGGUUUUGGUAAAAGUUCUUUGGAAUAGGACAUCAUAGAGGGUGAGAAUCCCGUAUUUGACCUUUACUUUCAACUUUGUGAUACACUUUCAAAGAGUCGGAUUGUUUGGGAAUGCAGUCCAAAAUGGGUGGUAAAUUUCAUCUAAAGCUAAAUAUUGGCGAGAGACCGAUAGCGAACAAGUACCGUGAGGGAAAGAUGAAAAGAACUUUGAAAAGAGAGUUAAACAGUACGUGAAAUUGUCAAAAGGGAAGCGUUUGACACCAGUGUUGUUUUUCUGAAAAUCAAUUAAAGAACUGUUUAUGCUAAGUUGUUUAGACUUUAUCAGCUAACUGUUUAGUUUUGAGCUUUUCUUUAAUGCACUUUUCAGUUAACAAGUCAACAUCAAUUUCUUUUGCUGUAAAAAAGCUUGAGGAAGGUGGCUUGAGAUUCGUCUUAAGUGUUUAUAGCCUCUUGCCUAUGCAGUCGGAGAGAUUGAGGUCUGCAGCGUAGAUCCUUCGGGGCUAAAUGCAUUUGUGCUAAGUUAUAGCAUUUAUAGACAACUUGUUGACUAUGAUUUGUCUUGUAGCUUACUCGCUUAUGUUAUUUUACCUACGCUUAGGAUGUUGAGCGCAUGUCUCUCUCU
rnacentral:rRNA from 1 species